AGGUCAUCCCAAACCCUGCACCCUAGAGGAGCUGGUGGCUCCUGGGACUGUUUUGGAGAGUGGACAAAAGAGGGAGGCUGAGGAGAAGGAUAUGUCCCCAUCCUCCUGGCUGCCUCUUGCCAGCCUUGAUCGACACCAAAGACGCAGUAAUCUCUCUCUGGCCCGAGGGGAGCAGCAACGUUUGUGAAACAGAUUUUUACAAAAUGUUUUGACCCUGC
rnacentral:lncRNA from 1 species